GACGAGGGGGCUAGCGUUGUUCGGAAUUACUGGGCGUAAAGCGCGUGUAGGCGGUUGUCCAAGUUGGAUGUGAAAGCCUUGAGCUCAACUCAAGAAAUGCAUUCAGGACUGGAUGACUAGAGGACCGGAGAGGAUAGUGGAAUUCCCAGUGUAGUGGUGAAAUACGUAGAGAUUGGGAAGAACACCAGUGGCGAAGGCGGCUAUCUGGACGGUUUCUGACGCUAAGACGCGAAAGCGUGGGAGCAACAGGAU
rnacentral:rRNA from 1 species